CCGAGGCGAGCCACUCCCUUCGUUCAUAAGGAUAGGUGGUUUCGAUAUUUCAUUCAAACAUUUCAGCAACGGGCUCAAAAAGCGGGCUCAUGUGAACAAUGAGGUGAUGUCACUCUAUAUUGAAAGUUUCAACAUUGAGCACAUGUAAAGUUCAAGCAAGCCAAGGAAGUUUGCAUUCUCACCACAUGUUGCUUCAAAACUCUGUGUGGACCCAAGUUCAUUCAAUACAAAUUCCUGCACGAAAGAUUUGAAAAGGGCCUGUGAGAAGAACGACAUUGCCAAAGCUGACCAAUUGUUCUUCACCAUUGUGAAACAAGACCAUUGGGCGGUCGUUGUUCUAAACUUGAUUCAUAAACAGUUCAAUGUGUUCGACUCCAACAUUAGAGACUCUGAUUAUGUCAGCAUCCUCGAGAAGCCUUGUUCCAAUUUGAUAGAGAACUUCAAAACUCUGGUGAGAGGAAGAAACCCUUGGAAGCACAAUCUUGACAUGUUUGAGUGCUUCAGUCCAUCAGGCUACCCACAACAGUCAACAACGUACUGUUUUCCGCAACUAUACAUUAUUUUUCUGGCAACUUUUUAUUUCAUAUAUGUGAUCUCAUUUUUCUCCAACCUUUUUUUUACUGGCAGAUUUGAUUGCGGCUUGUUUGCUAUUCUGUACAU